CGGUUGCCCGGGCCUGUCCUGUUUAGACAGGAGUCCAGGGCCUGCGAAUCGAGCUGACGCCAGCACCUCUGUGCCUGCUUGCACCUGGACCCAGCAGAGCCACGGGGGCCCCGAAUCACACCUGCAGUCAGGGCGUGGGGCUGGAGAGACUUCUUCAUGAAGGAAUACAGGGACAGUCACAGGAGACAGGAGCACCAAGGGAUUCGGACAUGUGGCUGACACAGUCUUCUGGAGAGCCCCGGAUGGCAUCAGGGGGAAACCUGGCCUGAGACAGUGCCCUGAUGGACAAGGACAGGAAUACGGUCAUACCUCCUGCCCACUUGACCAACGACCAGGAUGAGAAGCCAACAGAUGAUGAAUAUGAAUUAAAGUUGGACAACUAGCAAGUUUAAAACUUGGACUGGGACCUAGAUCUUCCGAUUCCUACAGCUAGCCUCCCUUUCCAUCUUCUCUGUGGUCAUCACUAAUGCAGUUUUUGACCGUCUUGUCCAGAAGCUGCAAAACAGACAACAGAAGCCAGGACUGGCCCUGCCUUAGAUGGCUUUCAGUGCAGGAAAGUAUCAAGACAGUCUUGUUCGUAGCGUAUAUCUCUCUCCACCUUUUCUGCUAAGCACCUCAUGUAUGCAGCUGCCAAUGUAACACCUCCAUUUGCGUGUUUAAUCACCAUCUCAAGCUAAUGUAACCAAGCAGACUUCUUGGCCUUCAUCCCUGCCUCCUCUAGUCUUCUCAUCUCUCUCUCUCUCUCUCUCUUUUUGAGACAGAAUUUGGCUCUGUUGCCCAGGCUGGAGUGCAGUGGCACCAUCUUGGCUCACUGCAACCUCUGCCUCCUGGGCUCAAGCCAUCCUCCCAACUCAGCCUCCUGAGUAGCUGGGUCUUCCCAUCUCUUUAAAAAACAAUUCAAUUGUUCAGAACAAAACCCUGGAGUCAUAUUUAAUUCCUCCCUUCCUCUUGCACUUCUAAACCAAUCAUUCAUCUCUACUUUGAAAAUGUUUCUUUAUUCAUCCAGUGCACCAAGCCACCAUCACCUCGAGGCAGGAAUAUUCAACGGCCUCAUAAGUGGUCUCCCUAUUUGUGUUAUAUUCAAUGCAUGUCUUUUCUUACUCAAAAUCCUAUAAAGGCUUCUCUUCACCAUCCACGACUGUUUCCUGCCUUCCUCACUAUGAUCCCAUCACUGACCCCUCAAGACUAUGUUCCAGCCUACUUUCUGCUCCUUGACCAACACCCUUACUCUGAUUCCCACUUUUGUGACUUCACAUGAGUCCCCUGUCUGCCUGGACACUCUGCCCCCAACCUUGAAGUGCUCACCCUUCCCUGUCACUCAGUUGAAAGUCAAAUUCCAUUUCCUCAUGAGGGCUUCCCUGAAUACCCACUUUUAAUUAACUCUCUGCCUCCUCCCAUCACUUCUGUUUUACCCCCUCUUUUAGUUCCUUCCUAUCUUAGUUUCAUAAGAGCCAGGGCCGUUUCCGACUUCUUUCCCCGUCAAGCCUCCUUAGAUAGGACAGGUCCUCUGCCUCACCGACUUUAAUCAGUAUUUGCUAAGUAAACAGAGCACAGGAGGAUCCUGUUGUCAUCAAAGAGCAGCUCUGCCUCCAAUGGCGAAAGGAUUGUUGGAACCUCAUCCUUCCUUCAAGUUCUGGUUCAAAAAAUUCCAUGCUAUGCCUCACAUGGCCUUGCCCAGGUGCCUGUUUGAUUUGCCUGGGUUGUCUGUUCUUUCUUCCCCACUGUCCUCAUUUGCCAUGUGGCUCGGUGGUGGCUGGAGACCUCCAUGCUGGCCCCUGGGAGCAGCUGCUAAGGCUCGGCGCCUCAGGACACCUUGGCACCUGUGGAUAUCGACCACCAGGCUUCUCUUCUGUUCAUGUCUCUGCAAGAAUGAGAACCUGCCCCCAUACCAUUUGUGCUGUGUAGGCCUCAGGAGGCAUGGACUCACGCAUCCAGCUUCCUGCAAGCCCUCUGGUACAUCGCAGUGUUCACCCCCAGCUUUCUAUUACAGCCACCACCCAGGGACUCUGGUGCAGGCUCCUUAGAGAGAGGCCAGGAAACUGCCGAGGUGAUAAGUGACAGCAGGUCUCAGGGGAAGAGAGGACUUCUCUCCUUAGUAAAGAACCUGUCGAGGUCGGAAAGACACUCCAGGCUCAAAGCCAAAUUUGAAAGUUAGGCUGACAGCCCAACUAGGGCAGAUUGGAGGAGCCAGGUGGAGAGAGGAUGUGGGGGAGUCAGGAAAGAGGUGGAAGGAGAAGCCUGGAAGAGUGGCUCCGCUCCUGGAGUAUGGCCAGCGGCACUUCGUCAGGACCUCGACCUUCACCCACUAGUGGGAGGGUGUUCCUCGCAUGACUUGUAGGAUCACCUGGGAAACACACAAAUGGAAGAAUUUAAAAAUAUCUGCUAGGACACCCCGUGUCCCCCACAACUCAUCACAGAGCAAACCCAUCACAGAGCAAACUCCUUGGCUACUUCUUGUCUUGGGCCGUCUUUUCAUCUGGCCUGUUUGCCUGACUGGACUUUGGGGUCUUUGUUCCCAGCAUCAAAAUUUCCUACCAGCGACUUUCCAUCACAGCUCCCUUCCAGUCUUCUGGAAAUUGUCAGAUGUGCCUGGAUUUGCAGGGCCUGCACAAGAUAUGCUGUCGAUCUGGGAUUUUUGGGGAUUUUUGCAGUUCACACUCCAAUGUGCAACAGCAACCAAACGGAGAUGGAGGACGUGAACAUGAACUACUGGAGAUGCUGAUGAAACGUGUGUAAGGACCGCAAUGGUAUCUGUGUCCUGCUCGUGAAAUUGACCAGAUACAGCGGCUUCCUUUUGCUUCCGAAGGCCCGGAUUGACCUGACAAUUGAUAUGCUUUGCUCUAUACUCCAACUCCCAUUGACCAUGGGGUGAAAGCACCCUUUCUCGGUCAGCCUCACUGCUUCCCCGCAGAUGGAGGGAUUUUCUGCAGGAGCAUGGGCCCUGGGCCUUCCUUUCCCACUGUCUCUUGAAAGCCUCCUCCAGAUGUGCUGCCUGGCUCAGCUCUUUGGGUGACUUUUGUUCUGUCUCAUGUGACCCAUCAAGAUUCACACAGGGCUGUGUCCCGGGCAGGGCUGGAGUCGACAUUCAGGGAGGAGAUCACUGUUCUGGAACAGAGCAGUGAUUGGUUUAAUUGAAAUCUGAUAGAUCAUCAUGUAAAAAGCUGGCAUGUAAGCAUGCUCCCGGAGCCUGCAGGGCCCUGCGCGGCCUCUUGCCUGGCCAUCACGUAGAGGCGGUCCUCUUGCAUGGUUGGGGGCCUCACCUGCACCACGGGCCCCCAAGCCAAACAGUGAGAUUGUACGGAGACCAUCCUGGUCAGGUCUUGCAGUUUGCACCAGGUAGCCCCAGGCUAUCCUGCCGUGCAAGAGCUGCCUUCUCAGCACAGUGGAGUUCUACGGCUGCCUCGGCUGCAGAGGUCAGCUCUGGAGCCUUGCUGAGCACCUCCAUGGAUGCAUUUUGCAAAGGGCCGAGUAAGAGGCAUUAACGUGGCCUGUGCUUAGUUCCUGACAGCAAGCGGGAUUAAACCCGGAUUAAAGGAUCAGCCCUAAACCAAAGCAGACCAGUAAUAGGUCUCAUGAUAAAAGCAGCCAAAUAAUAAUAGUAAAAAUCUAUUCUUGGACU
rnacentral:lncRNA from 1 species